GACGGGACGCGUGACUGGCGUGAGGUGGACGACCACCGGGGAGCGCUCCCGGUGAGGGGACCGGCCACCGUACGCCUGGGUGGAGUCC
rnacentral:ncRNA from 2 species